rnacentral:rRNA from 1 species
CGUAGGUGGCAAGCGUUGUCCGGAUUUACUGGGUGUAAAGGGCGUGCAGCCGGGAGCCCAAGUCAGAUGUGAAAUCCCGCGGCUUAACCGCGGAACUGCAUUUGAAACUGGGUUUCUUGAGUACCGGAGAGGUCAUCGGAAUUCCUUGUGUAGCGGUGAAAUGCGUAGAUAUAAGGAAGAACACCAGUGGCGAAGGCGGAUGACAGGACGGCAACUGACGGUGAGGCGCGAAAGCGUGGGGAGCAAA